AGGUGAACCUGCGGAAGGAUCAUUACCAAUAUAGCGAACCGAGCGUUAGCGAGGCUUCGCGAUCAAAUUUGUAUUUAAAACCCAACUCUUUAAAUGUAUAUUAUUAUUGUAUUUUAAAUAAUAAAGAUCACUUUCAACAACGGAUCUCUUGGCUCUCG
rnacentral:misc_RNA from 1 species